GAUGAAGAACGCAGCGAAAUGCGAUAAGUAGUGUGAAUUGCAGAAUUCAGUGAAUCAUCGAAUCUUUGAACGCACAUUGCGCCCCUUGGUAUUCCAUGGGGCAUGCCUGUUCGAGCGUCAUUUGUACCUUCAAGCUCUGCUUGGUGUUGGGUGUUUGUCUCGCCUCUGCGUGUAGACUCGCCUCAAAACAAUUUGCAGCCGGCGUAUUGAUUUCGGAGCGCAGUACAUCUCGCGCUUUGCACUCAUAACGACGACGUCCAAAAGUACAUUUUUACACUCUUGACCUCGGAUCAGGUAGGGAUACCCGCUGAACUUAAGCAUAUCAAUAAGCGGAGGA
rnacentral:misc_RNA from 1 species